rnacentral:rRNA from 1 species
UACGUAGGGGGCAAGCGUUGUCCGGAAUCAUUGGGCGUAAAGCGCGUGUAGGCGGCCAGAAAAGUCCGCUGUGAAAACUCGAGGCUCAACUUCGAGCUGUCGGUGGAAACUUUCUGGCUAGAGUCCGGAAGAGGAGAAUGGAAUUCCUGGUGUAGCGGUGAAAUGCGCAGAUAUCAGGAGGAACACCAAUGGCGAAGGCAGCUCGCUGGGACGGUACUGACGCUGAGGAGCGAAAGCGUGGGGAGCGAACAGG